rnacentral:rRNA from 1 species
AUUGAACGCUGGCGGCAUGCCUUACACAUGCAAGUCGAACGGCAGCACGGGAGCAAUCCUGGUGGCGAGUGGCGAACGGGUGAGUAAUAUAUCGGAACGUGCCCAGUCGUGGGGGAUAACUACUCGAAAGAGUGGCUAAUACCGCAUACGAUCUACGGAUGAAAGCGGGGGACCUUCGGGCCUCGCGCGAUUGGAGCGGCCGAUAUCAGAUUAGGUAGUUGGUAGGGUAAAAGCCUACCAAGGCGACGAUCAGUAGCUGGUCUGAGAGGACGAUCAGCCACACUGGGACUGAGACACGGCCCAGACUCCUACGGGAGGCAGCAGUGGGGAAUAUUGGACAAUGGGCGCAAGCCUGAUCCAGCCAUGCCGCGUGAAGGAUGACACAUUUCGGUGCGUAAACUCCUUUUAUAUGGGAAGAUAAUGACGGUACCAUAUGAAUAAGCACCGGCUAACUCCGUGCCAGCAGCCGCGGU